GGGCUGCGGUGGUUGCCGGGACAAUGACCGAAGACGAGGCGGACAAAGAGGAGGAGCUAC
rnacentral:tRNA from 1 species